GACGAACGCUGGCGGCGUGCUUAACACAUGCAAGUCGAACGGAAAGGCCCUGCUUUUGUGGGGUGCUCGAGUGGCGAACGGGUGAGUAACACGUGAGUAACCUGCCCUUGACUUUGGGAUAACUUCAGGAAACUGGGGCUAAUACCGGAUAGGAGCUCCUGCUGCAUGGUGGGGGUUGGAAAGGUUCGGCGGUUGGGGAUGGACUCGCGGCUUAUCAGCUUGUUGGUGGGGUAGUGGCUUACCAAGGCUUUGACGGGUAGCCGGCCUGAGAGGGUGACCGGCCCCAUUGGGACUGAGAUACGGCCCAGACUCCUACGGGAGGCAGCAGUGUGGAAUAUUGCCCAAUCGGCGGAACCCUGAUGCAGCAACGCCGCGUGCGGGAUGACGGCCUUCGGGUUGUAAACCGCUUUCGCCUGUGCCGAAGCGUGAGUGACGGUAAUGGGUAAAGAAGCACCGGCUAACUACGUG
rnacentral:rRNA from 1 species